CGCGAGUCAUCAAGAAAUCUAAAGAAUCAGGUGAAGACGAAGCCAACAGUGUGGUGUUCACCAAGUGCGCGACAAAAGCUCAAACAUCCUGCGCGACUCAAGUUCGACUCGUCAGAAUUAUUCAGUCGAGGAAAAGAUCUUCAAGCAAUUGACUACCGAAGAAAAGAAGACCCCUGGGUGACGUCAACCGGAACCCAUAGUCGUGCUUGCGACGUCAAAUUAGACAGGGUAAGCAAAUUUAUUAUUCGUGCGAGUGGAUUAAUGAAUGAUCUAAACUAGGUCUAUAAAUAGAAUUGUGGUCACAAUAAAUGUUAGUAAUUUACUAAUUUAGCAUGCCUAUAUUGUGAUAAUCGAUUUAGGUAAAUCGGUAAAUCAAGUAAUUAAGAUACAUAGUUUAAAGAGUUAAUAAAAAGCUAGGAAUAAAAAUAGAUCUAGUGUAAUAUGUCAAUUUGGUUAAUGGAUGUAGUCGAUGCCCUGCUGUGAUAUCCAUGAUGCUUAAUUCUUGGUUUUAAGUGUUUCGUCCUUUUUGGCGUAGAUUAUCUAUCUCAUACUAUGUAUACUCGUGCUCAUACAUGUGCAUCGUGCAUCUCAUGAGGUACGAUAAUUAAUCGCGCGAUGCGGAAGAAGAGCCAAGUCGAUCUCAAGCGCGGGCUAAUCCGCAGGAUGAUGCUGAUGGACGAACCGGAAGAUGGAUAAUCUGAACAAUGCCAAAACAAAAGGCUGAUCGUCAAGUGGUCGUCGUCUAACAACACUAACCUAGUGUUACCCAGGCAAGCCCCGGUGCAUUUGCCACCUUCCUUGAUGUUUUUAAAAUCUUUCUCACUUGAUUGAUGCAUUAGGUGAUAGGAGUUGAUUGCUAAAACAAUUCCUGCAUUACCUUCCUUGAAUUUGAUUACCUUCCUUGAUCACCUGUUUUACAAAAGAUUUUUGAUGCUUAGCAUUGCUUUAGAAAAACAAAAUGUUUUGUUUUUACAAAAGAUGAUUUGGCAAAAGUGGAUGGGAUGUUUUUGAAAAUAAAACUUGAUGGUGAAUCCAUCACGGCCGUGAUGGAUUCAACAUUGGAAAAGAUGUACCUCUGCCAGGUACCCACCUUUGGGGUUAAAUGAUUAAGCUGAGACCGGGCGGGUGACUUGCACGAGAAAGGAGUCUCGAUGUAGUGUCUCCGUCUGAGUCGUUUAAGGACCGUACCGAUUGUUGGCCUGCUGAUCUAGGACCCUUUAUCUGGCCACAUACCUCAUCAUGGGUAAGCUUGAACCCGGCUAUUCCAUACAUGAAAAGACAAUCACGCACUGGGAGUGGAGAGAUGGCGAGAGUGGCACGUACCCUCCUGGCAAAGGACCGCCUAAAAGGGGUGGUGUGCUCUCGGGUGGCGCGGACCUGUUCAUGUGGUGGAGGAUCCGUGGGAAUGGUAGACAUGUGCAAAAGAGUUAAGAGAAGCAUAUGUCGUGUGGUUGGAGAUCCCUAGCUGGGUAUUAAUCGAUUCAGAUCGCCGAACUUCUCGGAUAUGAAGACUGGAUCUUCGACCCUCAUCGUAGAUAACAAGCGAAACAAAAGUUAGAUUUUAAAAGAAAGCUAGUGUAGGACAAGUGAAUGCUCUAGAUUAGGCAAAUCUAGAUUCAGGAAAAGUACUUAACUUGUGAUGUAAAAUUUUGGCUUAAGGACCCACUUCUAGUAAGCUUUUCUGCAAAAAGAGUCCUUGAAACUUGAUGAGCUUUACCUUGAAUCCCUCUAGCCAGCAUACCCUUGAGAGUCUUUUCUUUAGUUGGGUAAGUCUUGCUGAGUAAUUCCGUGCUCAGGGUUUUAUUCCCUGUUGUUUUUCAGGUUCUAACUUUGUGCUGUUGUUGAUGGUGUUAAGUGCCGGUGGGCUCGGCCUUCUUAUAAGUCUAAGUAACUCUUCUAUACUUCUUAUUGAGAAUGUUCACUUGAGCUAGCAUAUAUUUCAAAACUAUAAAUAAUUUAUAAUAGUUUAAAGUUAUUCCUUUGAACCACUUCUGUAACCACUCCGAUAAAUCUAAUGUAAAACUUGAUGUAGCUUGUAAAAUUUGGUAAAAAGAUUUCCGCUGCAAAAUGUUGGUGUGUGAUUUGUGUUUACUUAAUCUUGUGAUCCUGGUUGUUCGUGGUUUAUCCGGGGUCCCUGGGACACUCGGACAGAUCCUGUUAAGUUAUCUGGUGCACAUACAUAGCCGUCUGAGGUCUUUGAGACAAGGACAGGUGCAUGUGGGCCCGAUAACUUGGGAGGUUCUGCCACAGCUGGUAUCGGAGCAAGAUUAAGUAUAUACAGUCACAUACAUAUUUUCAAAACCAAAGUUUUGGUUUCAGAAAACCUAUUUUCACCUAAACACAUUGUUUGGUUUUGAAAAACAGUUUUAAAAAACUAUAAUGCUAGUGACAUCCUCUAUUAAGCCCUAAGUUAAGGACUAUCAGGUGGCUUAGUUCAAAACCACUAACCCACAACCAGGUGGGUAUUGCAUACAUGUGUAUUGUUAUUUUUGAGGCCAUUCGGUUUUGAAUGGAUCGACGCUCAAGGUAAGGUGAGAUGUGAGAGCAUGACCGAACAAACGUCGGUCUAGGGGAGUGCUUAAGUGUGGCGCUUGAUUAUAUACAUGUUCCACAUAUGUAUAUAUGAAGGCUGCGAUGUGGAGUAUUUACUUUUCUGGGAAUUCAGUACCCCAUGGAUGUGUAUGGGUAUACAGACAUGGGAAUACUGAGAAGUGUAUUGUACUCGUAACGACGCACCUACGCUCAGGUAAGAAGGUGAGUUACCAUAAUGAGUUGCCCUAUGGUUAAAGUGUGGCAACGGCGCCUAUGCAUGGCUCGGCGCUUAAUGAUGAGCUGGCCUCCAUAUAGCAAUAUAUGGAGUAUAAACUGUGAUAAACUAUCAUGUGUGAAUUGCAUCAUUGGGAAUUGGGCUAUGAUGGAUUUUUCUGCAGGUACACUAACCUCGAAAAUGUAUGUGUAGUUGACGACUAGCAAAAUACCGUGAGAGUCGUAAGUAUGCCACCGAUAUAGAACGCUAUUGCCACAGUAUAUUGGCAAAACUCGUGAGGACGUGUAGGACGAGCAUGCAUCCUGAUUGUUGCAUCAUGUUUGUCACCUAUACACCCAAGAUGCUUCUCUCAUCUUUAUUCUAGUAACCAUUGAUUGUAGAUAAUAUGGUGUAAUGCUAAAUUAUGAACUUCGAUGAAAUAGGUGUCCUCCAUUCUUUAGGUGACCUCUUAGAGUGCUUUAUGUGUGCUCUUUUGUUGAUGUGCCGAUAGAGGGUUAGUAGUUUGGUUGCUUAAACCCAAAAUUAGGCCAUGUUCUUAGUUGGUGAACCGAGACCCCAAUUUGAAUUUACCAUUAUCACUCUGUGACCAAGCCCAUACAAAUAAAUGCUUGAUAAUUUCUUUGUUGGACAUAAGUUGCAUUCGGACUCCAAAUAAGGAUCUUGGCAAUUAACUUGUCACUCCCUUAGUGGUCGUGUUUCCAUCCUAGAUCCUGCCCUUGCUUAGUUGAUACAGGUUGAGGUCUCUAUUGUGUUUGGCCUCUCCUUGCGGAUUAUCUUGUCGCUUUAUCAACCCAACCUAGGAAAGACAUGUCCAACCAUUUUUCUGGAAUUUGAUGCCUUUGGUUUCCCCAUAUCUAUCGAAGGCAUACCAACUUAAUCUUAUGAUUGUUUUCCCCUGUAUCUAGUCAGAUACUGAUCCUUGACCUUGUGAUCUCUACGAUUGGCAAAGAAAUAUGCUUGGGGCUGAACUAACAGUCUCCCAUCAUACUCCAUUCAUCAAGUUUAGGUUAUGGCCAUGUCUUGUCCAUUUCAUCGGGCCAUGAUCUAUUUGGCUCUCUGCUGUAACCAUCAUUACAGGGGGAGCAUCUCUUUGUAUAUUGUCACCCUUGCCUAAUUCAUUUGUAUCGCGUGAGAUUUCUUAUUGGUUACGUCUGGUAAUGGUGUUAUGACUAAAACCGAUGGCACGCGUUGGUAUCACAGUUAAUAGUCAUAAUCCAUUAUGAGAUUGUAUCAAUAUGUUAUCUUCCGUAGACUUCUUCCUUGAAACAAUUUCUAUGUCGUUUGUGAAGAGAUCAAGCAACAUCUGUCAUCUCCGUUGGAUCAAAAGGGCAUACCACUUUCAUGUGUGGUCUUAUUUCUUUUGAUCUUGGUAGUGACUACUCAUACAAGUUCCCUUUACAUCCUUUGUGUAAAGGAGAAGCCUUGGAGCUUUUUAGUGUCGAGAGACAACCGAUUAGCUCUCAAAAUGGAGAUCUGUUUCCUCUGCUACUGAGAUGCAGGAGUUUGUUCAUUCGCUCUCUUAUUUAAUCCAUGUAUUCCCUAACCAAGUGGAUAAUGCGUCUCGCAUGAAGAAACGGAUGAACAACAUGACCAAAUGGAUUUCUACCCAAAUGCAUGACCAACUGUUAGUAUGAGUGAACUCUCGACCGUUGGCUUACCGAUGGUACUGAGAGGACAUGCCCAAUGUCAAAAGUAGUUCAACAAGUUGGUUUUACUAACUUGUAACUGCUCAAUGAACGAAGGUUGAGUUUAGAGAUCGUUUUAUCGAUUUGCCUGAACUCACUUUGGUUCAAACCCUCUUAAGAAAGUACUUAUAAGAAUCGAGAUUAAGGCGGCCAAUAACCACCUAGCCAUCGCUCUAGUCGUGUCUCGAUCGCCUCACGUGUGCUUUUCUAGCAUGUAUGACCAGGUCGAGUCAUGCCUAGUGCUUGAUAAAAUGGACUAGUUUUAAAGUCCGUAUCUACAGAUCCCUUUGCUGGUGAUGUUCUCGAAUCUAUAUCACCUUUCAGGGACUUGGAUUCUCUGGCUAACACGAGUUAACUAUGAUGUUAUUCGACAUUCACACCCGUCACGUGUGCUAUGAGCUUACUGUAACCACUUGUUGGUAAACCUCUUUCUGUGUGUUUUAACCAAGAUGGUGUAUCUGAUUCUGUUUGGGUAAAAUCGUGUAUUUGUCGCUCGCUCAACAGACUCAGAUAGUACAGUGUCAUAAAAAAAAGCAAACUGCACACAUGGAACCUUAUGUGUUCUUCUGGCAGACAGCGUCUCUAUUGGUGGACAUUUCUAAAUUGGCUUAAGGCGAUACAUGAUAUGUCCACUAGAGAAACAACAUUCUGAGACACUCGUCCUUGCUUGGAAUUGCCUUAUAAUUAUCGCUGAUAUGAACAAGGUUACAUACUUCUCUACCCUUAGAAGUCUUUCGCUCCGAAUCUCGGGACGAGAUUCUUUUAAGGGGGAGGGCUGUAACACCCCAGGUGUUUAUAUUCCGCUCGACAGCGAGUACGGAUUUAAGCACGUGAUAUCAGUGAAUAAGACGGACACUAAGGUCUAAUUAUCUUCGCCUAUUGCGAUUUUAAUAUCGCAUCCGUUCCGUCUGUCGUGGGUGCGACAUCGUUUUAUUUUCAUCUAUUCGGGCUCGUCCUAAAUUUUCGUGGUGUUCGGAACCUCGUCGUUCCAAAAAUUAGUGCGUCCGAUGAGUAUUUAAAAUUCAUCGCUCGCGCGAAUACGAAUUCGGAAGCCCGACUCACUCGAAUGAUUUUAUCCAUAACAAAUUAAUUUGCACUCGUCGACUAAGAUUUUUGGUGCAAACAAUUCGACUCACACUCGUCAAUCGUGAAAUCGUGUACGAGGAUCCAAAAAUUGUGCAUCAAUUCACGGAUAAAUUAUCCUGGCUGUGGAACCAGGUGUUCCGAGGUUAGACGUAUGUUCAUCUGAUUUUAAACCAGACUACUGUAAUUAGUACUGACAACAAGUAAUUGGUGAAUGAUUUGGUUCGCUAAAUCAUUAGACUGAAAUGUGUAGCCGUAUAACGCGUUGACCAAUUAUGUUCAUCGCUUAAAAUUGUGAUCCAAAAAUAUCUGCAAAAUUCUUUAAAAAAAAUUAUAAAAAAGGAAAAAUAUCUUCUCCUUAUCCUCCCAUCGUCUUCCUCUCUUGAUUUUUUUUCGCAUGAGCCUUAUCAGGAUCCGCGUCACUGUGUCCUGGAACAAAAAAAUCUAUCGUCGUUUUCUUUCUCAGAUAUCCUCCCACCGCUCACUGCCUUUGCUCUAUCCCGGCCACCGCCGCUCAAGCACCUGGAUGAGGAUCGAUGCCGUCGCCAGGAUUUUUCCUCGUCGUGCUCUUCUGCUGAAAUCGGUGCCCAGCCACUCCUCCUCUACAGCCGUUGCCAUCUCCCUCUUGUAGCUCGUCUUCUCCCUCUACUCUCCGCUCAAGCUUGCCGACCGUCCGUCUUCCUCCCUGGCCGGCGUACUGCCUCCGGCUCGCCGCUGCGCGCGCCCAUCUCCCUCCGCGCCGCACAUCCGGGUGUCUGCUCGCCCCCUGUGCCGCGUCGUGGUCUCCCUCCCUGCGCACAGCCACCACCGGCCGAGCUCGCCCCGGCCCCUUCGCUCCUCCCAUGGCGAGCUCGCCGGGAUGCCCCUGUCCCAGUUCGCUGCGCCCUGCUCGGUCCCGGGCUUAUCUGCUGCUCGGCCGCGUCCCUCCCUUGUUCCUCCAGCCGAGCUGCUCUCCCAGCGCUCUUCCUUCCCUGCAACCUGGACCUUCCCAGCUCGGCCUCUAGCUGCUGCGCGCGCUCUUCCUCCAUGGCCGCGCCCGCUGUCGCGCCCGUCCAGGCUCCUCUACGCGCGCCGGAGCUUCCUCUACUCGGUCCCCUGUCGGCCUGCUCCAUCUUCCUGGCGGCGCUCAGCUCUGUCCUUUCUCCCUCUGUUUGCCCACGCGCAGGCAUGCUUCGCCGAGCUCGCCCCUGCACGUCCUGCUCUCCCCAGCUCCGCUCUGGUCGUGCGCGCUCCUCUGCUCGCCGAGGCCCCUUCUCUAUGCACUCUCCGGCCAGCCGAGGUCUCGCCAGCUACAGUUCCGCUCAAAGUUCUCUGCUCAGUUCCCUUGCGUGCGCCUUGGUGGCUGCGCGUGCUAUUCCCUGCCGAGCUCGGUACUGUCUAUCUGGCCACGCUCGGUCUCUAGCUCCUUGUGCGCACAUCUGUUCAUGGCCGUGGUGAUAAUUGAUAUUAUGGCGUGGCGACGUCGUGCGCGUCGCGACAGUUGUCUUGGUCGUGAAGUAGUCCGCGCCAUAGAGUUCACCCGGCCAUGAUUUCAUCAAAUUGCGAAGCUUCCUCACCAUGCGCUCUGGCAUCGGCUGCCGCCGAUUCCGCCAUAAAGUUCACGAACGCUCUUUGCUCAAUUUAUUUCGCCGUGGGCAAUUUCUCCACACUUCAAAUACGUGUUGCUUGCCCCGCAUGCGCUCACUCCUCAUCCUUUGGGUUUCGGCAUAUUCACGUUUAUCGUCGAGCCGUCAAACUCGUCAUCCCCUGCUCGAUCCCCACCUUACCAGCUCGCUCCAAAAACGAUCUCGUCGUCGUUCCGCGAGUCAUCAAGAAAUCUAAAGAAUCAGGUGAAGACAAAGCCAACAGCGUGGUGUUCACCAAGUGCGCGACAAAAGCUCAAACAUCCUGCGCGACUCAAGUUCGACUCGUCAGAAUUAUUCAGUCAAGGAAAAGAUCUUCAAGCAAUUGACUACCGAAGAAAAGAAGACCCCUGGGUGACGUCAACCGGAACCCAUAGUCGUGCUUGCGACUAUCGCGUCAAAUUAGACAGGGUAAGCAAAUUUAUUAUUCGUGCGAGUGGAUUAAUGAAUGAUCUAAACUAGGUCUAUAAAUAGAAUUGUGGUCACAAUAAAUGUUAGUAAUUUACUAAUUUAGCAUGCCUAUAUUGUGAUAAUCGAUUUAGGUAAAUCGGUAAAUCAAGUAAUUAAGAUACAUAGUUUAAAGAGUUAAUAAAAAGCUAGGAAUAAAAAUAGAUCUAGUGUAAUAUGUCAAUUUGGUUAAUGGAUGUAGUCGAUGCCCUGCUGUGAUAUCCAUGAUGCUUAAUUCUUGGUUUUAAGUGUUUCGUCCUUUUUGGCUUAGAUUAUCUAUCUCAUACUAUGUAUACUCGUGCUCAUACAUGUGCAUCGUGCAUCUCAUGAGGUACGAUAAUUAAUCGCGCGAUGCGGAAGAAGAGCCAAGUCGAUCUCAAGCGCGGGCUAAUCCGCAGGAUGAUGCUGAUGGACGAACCGGAAGAUGGAUAAUCUGAACAAUGCCAAAACAAAAGGCUGAUCGUCAAGUGGUCGUCGUCUAACAACACUAACCUAGUGUUACCCAGGCAAGCCCCGGUGCAUUUGCCACCUUCCUUGAUGUUUUUAAAAUCUUUCUCACUUGAUUGAUGCAUUAGGUGAUAGGAGUUGAUUGCUAAAACAAUUCCUGCAUUACCUUCCUUGAAUUUGAUUACCUUCCUUGAUCACCUGUUUUACAAAAGAUUUUUGAUGCUUAGCAUUGCUUUAGAAAAACAAAAUGUUUUGUUUUUACAAAAGAUGAUUUGGCAAAAGUGGAUGGGAUGUUUUUGAAAAUAAAACUUGAUGGUGAAUCCAUCACGGCCGUGAUGGAUUCAACAUCGGAAAAGAUGUACCUCUGCCAGGUACCCACCUUUGGGGUUAAAUGAUUAAGCUGAGACCGGGCGGGUGACUUGCACGAGAAAGGAGUCUCGAUGUAGUGUCUCCGUCUGAGUCGUUUAAGGACCGUACUGAUUGUUGGCCUGUUGAUCUAGGACCCUUUAUCUGGCCACAUACCUCAUCAUGGGUAAGCUUGAACCCGGCUAUUCCAUACAUGAAAAGACAAUCGCGCACUGGGAGUGGAGAGAUGGCGAGAGUGGCACGUACCCUCCUGGCAAAGGACCGCCUAAAAGGGGUGGUGUGCUCUCGGGUGGCGCGGACCUGUUCAUGUGGUGGAGGAUCCGUGGGAAUGGUAGACAUGUGCAAAAGAGUUAAGAGAAGCAUAUGUCGUGUGGUUGGAGAUCCCCAGCUGGGUAUUAAUCGAUUCGGAUCGCCGAACUUCUCGGAUAUGAAGACUGGAUCUUCGACCCUCAUCGUAGAUAACAAGCGAAACAAAAGUUGGAUUUUAAAAGAAAGCUAGUGUAGGACAAGUGAAUGCUCUAGAUUAGGCAAAUCUAGAUUCAGGAAAAGUACUUAACUUGUGAUGUAAAAUUUUGGCUUAAGGACUCACUUCUAGUAAGCUUUUCUGCAAAAAGAGUCCUUGAAACUUGAUGAGCUUUACCUUGAAUCCCUCUAGCCAGCAUACCCUUGAGAGUCUUUUCUUUAGUCGGGUAAGUCUUGCUGAGUAAUUCCGUGCUUAGGGUUUUAUUCCCUGUUGUUUUUCAGGUUCUAACUUUGUGCUGUUGUUGAUGGUGUUAAGUGCCGGUGGGCUCGGCCUUCUUAUAAGUCUAAGUAACUCUUCUAUACUUCUUAUUGAGGAUGUUCACUUGAGCUAGCAUAUAUUUCAAAACUAUAAAUAAUUUAUAAUAGUUUAAAGUUAUUCCUUUGAACCACUUCUGUAACCACUCCGAUAAAUCUAAUGUAAAACUUGAUGUAGCUUGUAAAAUUUGGUAAAAAGAUUUCCGCUGCAAAAUGUUGGUGUGUGAUUUGUGUUUACUUAA
rnacentral:lncRNA from 1 species